rnacentral:rRNA from 1 species
AGAGUUUGAUCCUGGCUCAGGAUGAACGCUAGCGACAGGCUUAACACAUGCAAGUCGAGGGGCAGCACAGGUAGCAAUACCGGGUGGCGACCGGCGCACGGGUGAGUAACGCGUAUGCAACUUGCCUAUCAGAGGGGGAUAACCCGGCGAAAGUCGGACUAAUACCGCAUGAAGCAGGGAUCCCGCAUGGGAAUAUUUGCUAAAGAUUCAUCGCUGAUAGAUAGGCAUGCGUUCCAUUAGGCAGUUGGCGGGGUAACGGCCCACCAAACCGACGAUGGAUAGGGGUUCUGAGAGGAAGGUCCCCCACAUUGGUACUGAGACACGGACCAAACUCCUACGGGAGGCAGCAGUGAGGAAUAUUGGUCAAUGGCCGAGAGGCUGAACCAGCCAAGUCGCGUGAGGGAUGAAGGUUCUAUGGAUCGUAAACCUCUUUUAUAAGGGAAUAAAGUGCGGGACGUGUCCCGUUUUGUAUGUACCUUAUGAAUAAGGAUCGGCUAACUCCGUGCCAGCAGCCGCGGUAAUACGGAGGAUCCGAGCGUUAUCCGGAUUUAUUGGGUUUAAAGGGUGCGUAGGCGGCCUUUUAAGUCAGCGGUGAAAGUCUGUGGCUCAACCAUAGAAUUGCCGUUGAAACUGGGGGGCUUGAGUAUGUUUGAGGCAGGCGGAAUGCGUGGUGUAGCGGUGAAAUGCAUAGAUAUCACGCAGAACCCCGAUUGCGAAGGCAGCCUGCCAAGCCAUUACUGACGCUGAUGCACGAAAGCGUGGGGAUCAAACAGGAUUAGAUACCCUGGUAGUCCACGCAGUAAACGAUGAUCACUAGCUGUUUGCGAUACACUGUAAGCGGCACAGCGAAAGCGUUAAGUGAUCCACCUGGGGAGUACGCCGGCAACGGUGAAACUCAAAGGAAUUGACGGGGGCCC